rnacentral:rRNA from 1 species
GACGAACGCUGGCGGCGUGCUUAACACUUGCAAGUCGAGCGGAAAGGCCACUUCGGUGGUACUCGAGCGGCGAACGGGUGAGUAACACGUGAGUAAUCUGCCCCUGGCUUUGGGAUAGCCACCGGAAACGGUGAUUAAUACCGGAUACGACCACUUCUCGCAUGGGAUGGUGGUGGAACGUUUUUUCGGCCAGGGAUGUGCUCGCGGCCUAUCAGCUUGAUGGUGAGGUAAUGGCUCACCAUGGCUUCGACGGGUAGCCGGCCUGGGAGGGUGACCGGACACACUGGGACUGAGACACGGCCCAGACUCCUACGGGAGAGAGCAGUGGGGAAGCAUGGACAAUGCGCGGAAGCCUGAACCAGCAACGCCGGGUGGGGGAUGACGGACUGCGGGUUGUAAACCUCUUUCAGCAGGGACGAAGCGCAAGUGACGGUACCUGCAGAAGAAGCACCGGCCAACUACGUGCCAGCCGCCGCGGUAA